GGUGGCUCAGUGGUGGAGAGCUUGCCUUGCAUGCAUGAGGCCCUGGGUUCAAUUCCUAAGCACCA
rnacentral:tRNA from 1 species